rnacentral:rRNA from 1 species
GUGAGGAAUAUUGGUCAAUGGGCGGAAGCCUGAACCAGCCAUCCCGCGUGGAGGAAGACGGCCCUAUGGGUUGUAAACUUCUUUUCAAGGGGAAGAAAGUUCGCGACGUGUCGCGAUUUGCCGGUACCUUUGGAAUAAGCAUCGGCUAACUCCGUGCCAGCAGCCGCGGUAAUACGGAGGAUGCGAGCGUUAUCCGGAUUUAUUGGGUUUAAAGGGUGCGUAGGCCGAUCGAUAAGUCAGCGGUGAAAUACCAUGGCCCAACCAUGGAACUGCCGGUGAUACUGUCGGUCUUGAAUAUGGUCAAGGUAGGCGGAAUGUGUAAUGUAGCGGUGAAAUGCUUAGAUAUUACACAGAACACCGAUUGCGAAGGCAGCUUACUGGUCCAUUAUUGACGCUGAGGCACGAAAGCGUGGGGAUCGAACAGGAUUAGAUACCCCGGUAGUCC